rnacentral:rRNA from 1 species
GUCAGGACUGAACGCUGGCUGCGUGCUUAACACUUGCAAGUCUACAAGAAAGGGGUAGAAAUAUCCCGAGUAAAGCGGCGGACGGGUGAGUAACACUGAAGUAAUCUACCUUUAAGUUCGGAAUAACUCCGAGAAAUCGGGGCUAAUACCGGAUGAUGCGGCGGAUCCACAUGGAUAUGUUGUUAAAGUCUAUAAGACGCCUAAAGAUGAGCUUGCGGCCGAUUAGCUAGUUGGUAGGGUAACGGCCUACCAAGGCGACGAUCGGAAGCUGGUCUGAGAGGACGACCGGACCCAUGGGCACUGAGACACGGGCGCCCACUCCUACGGGAGGCAGCAGUCGGGAAUUUUGGGCAAUGGGCGCAAGCCUGACCCAGCGACGCCGCGUGGAGGACGAAGCCCUUCGGGGUGUAAACUCCUUUUAGUAGGGACGAAUUCAGACGGUACCUACAGAAAAAGCCCCGGCUAACUACGUGCCAGCAGCCGCGGUAAUACGUAGGGGGCGAGCGUUGCCCGGACUUACUGGGCGUAAAGCGCACGUAGGCGGCUCCGUAAGUCUGGUGUGAAAUCUCACGGCUCAACCGAGAGGCUGCACCAGAUACUGCGGAGCUCGAGGACAGGAGAGGAGAUCGGAAUUCCCGGUGUAGCGGUGAAAUGCAUUGAUAUCGGGAGGAACACCAGUGGCGAAGGCGGAUCUCUGGCCUGUUGCUGACGCUGAGGUGCGAAAGCUGGGGGAGCGAAAGGGAUUAGAUACCCCUGUAGUCCCAGCCCUAAACGAUGGGUGCUAGGUGUUGGGGAAUUAAUCUUCGGCGCCGAAGCUAACGCAUUAAGCACCCCGCCUGAGGAGUACGGCCGCAAGGUUGCUGUCG